GAGAGUCUGUGGUGGCAGUGUGGAAGGGAGCACAGAUGUGCCACCACAGCUUUGGGAACCUGCACCACCUCUUCUUCGAAUUCCUCCCCACUGCCCACCAUGCCCUCAGGAGGCUUUAAAUAGCAAUGAUGUUGAUGUUAGAAGUCUCAAGAUUGAGAAGGACAGUGGGGGUCACAUUACAUUCCCUUUUAAAGCCUCACUUAGCUGAGCACAAUACCAUAAGUAGUCACCAGUUCCUGACUUCAAACCUACUGUUAUUCCUACCAGCUUUCAGGAGCAGUAUAUCAGUCCUGCUCCCAGUCCAUUCUGUUCUCCUCAGUCCCCACUCUUUCCCUAGGUAGGGCCAUCUUUGUAAGAGAUAAGCUGGCAGGUGGCUGGAAAAAAAAGGACAUGUUUUGCCUCCGCCCUUUCUUUUUUAGGAAGAAAAUGUGAUUGUAUGAUGUAUACCUUUAAGAUGCUCAUCAUUUUUGCUUGUGUGAUGAAAGAUUCUUUGAGGGAGAGCUGAGAGGGCUUGAUAUUUCAUGAUCUAGCACCAUAUUUAACUCUCCUUCAAGCUCGUCCCAUCCCAUUUGCACAACCGCCUCUGUGGUGGUGGGAAUGCUCCCUGCUGGCUGCAAACAAAAAUGCACAUUCUUCUUGAUGGGCUCUGUUGCAGGUUUGCUUCACUCUACCUCACUGGCUGUGGCUCAAAAGUGUUUUGGAAGUGCAGCAUGAGUUUUCCCUGAGCGCCAUGAUCUAUUUUACCCAGGUUAUGAAUGAAUCCAAGUGUACCAAAAUCUGUAGCAUUUCUUGAACCUCCCUGAAUUCUUUGUUCCAACAACUUCUUCAGAGUAGUUCUGCACUUAUGGAACAAGUCAUCAAGAUCCACAUCCUCCCUCCGCAAAUUCCAUGUAAAAUGACAUUGUAGCUGCAGCAGGGAAUGCUUCAAGGAAAUCUUUGAAAUGCUGCUAAAAGAAAUCAAAGAUACUGAUACUCCAUUUGCUUUUUGUUACUCUUGUUUUUAAACCACACAUGAUAUACUUCAAAAACAAGCAAUACCUCAGCUGGUGCCUCUAGUCAACAAUACUUCAAACAAGCCAAAGCUGUGGGAAGACAUAGGUCUAAACACCUGAAUAUUUAUUUUAGUAAUUCUCCUUGUCAGUGCAUGAGAGUAACACUUGCAUAGCAACAGAGCUGGUGGUCCGGACGUCAAAGUGGAGGGUUAGUCUCUAUGGUAAAGCUGACACACAUCUAGGCCUCAGGAACAUAUUUCUUAUGCUGGGAAUGAUUGCUGA